UCGGGGAUGGGGUAGCUGGCAGCCCGCCAGGUUCUGGUCCUGGAAGCCAUGGUUCGAUUCCAUGUCCCCGAG
rnacentral:tRNA from 1 species